rnacentral:snoRNA from 1 species
AUCCCAUGAUGAAGGCAUUUUCGUAAUAAUUCUUUAAAUCUUUCCCAUGCCUUAUAUAAGGAUUCAUCAUCCAAUUGCUAAAAAGUUGUGAUCUCAUUCCUCAGUUU